UACGUAGGGUGCGAGCGUUAAUCGGAAUUACUGGGCGUAAAGCGUGCGCAGGCGGUUUUGUAAGAACAGAUGUGAAAUCCCCGGGCUCAACCUGGGAACUGCGUUUGUGACUGCAAGACUCGAGUGCGGCAGAGGGGGUGGAAUUCCGCGUGUAGCAGUGAAAUGCGUAGAGAUGUGGAGGAACACCGAUGGCGAAGGCAGCCCCCUGGGUCGACACUGACGCUCGAUGCACGAAAGCGUGGGGAGCAAACAGG
rnacentral:rRNA from 1 species